rnacentral:rRNA from 1 species
ACGAACGCUGGCGGCGUGCUUCACACAUGCAAGUCGAACGGAAAGGCCCUGCUUUUGUGGGGUGCUCGAGUGGCGAACGGGUGAGUAACACGUGAGUAACCUGCCCUUGACUUUGGGAUAACUUCAGGAAACUGGGGCUAAUACCGGAUAGGAGCUCCUGCUGCAUGGUGGGGGUUGGAAAGUUUCGGCGGUUGGGGAUGGACUCGCGGCUUAUCAGCUUGUUGGUGGGGUAGUGGCUUACCAAGGCUUUGACGGGUAGCCGGCCUGAGAGGGUGACCGGCCCCAAUGGGACUGAGGAACCGCCCAGGCCCCCUCCGGGGGGAAGCGGUGGGGAAUAUUCCACAAGGGGCGGAAGCCGGUGGCGCAACCGCCGGGUGCGGAAGGCCGGCUUUGGGGUGGUAACCCGCUUCGGCUGGGACCGAGGCUUGGGGGCCGUUAUUGGUAAAGAAGCACCGGCUAACUACGUG